rnacentral:rRNA from 1 species
UACCAGCUCUCCGAGUGGUGUGGAUGUUUAUUGGGCCUAAAGCAUCCGUAGCUGGCUAAGUUAGUCCUUUGUUAAAUCCACCGAAUUAAUCGUUGGGUUGCGAGGGAUACUGCUUGGCUAGGGGACGAGAGAGGCAGACGGUAUUUUCGGGGUAGGGGUGAAAUCCUAUAAUCCCGGGAAGACCACCAGUGGCGAAGGCUGUCUGCUAGAACGCGCCCGACGGUGAGGGAUGAAAGCUGGGGUAGCGAACCGGAUUAGAUACCCCUGUAGUCCCUGAGCGGGCUGG